rnacentral:rRNA from 1 species
AUACGGUGAAUACGUUCCCGGACCUUGCACACACCGCCCGUCAAGCCAUGGAAGCCGGGUGUACCUAAAGUCGGUAACCGUAAGGAGCCGCCUAGGGUAAAAACUGGGGACUGGGGCU